rnacentral:rRNA from 1 species
AACGAACGCUGGCGGCAUGCCUAACACAUGCAAGUCGAACGAGACCUUCGGGUCUAGUGGCGCACGGGUGCGUAACGCGUGGGAACCUGCCCUUAGGUUCGGAAUAACUCCCCGAAAGGGGUGCUAAUACCGGAUAAUGUCUUCGGACCAAAGAUUUAUCGCCUUGGAUGGGCCCGCGUUGGAUUAGCUAGUUGGUAGGGUAAAAGCCUACCAAGGCGACGAUCCAUAGCUGGUCUGAGAGGAUGAUCAGCCACACUGGGACUGAGACACGGCCCAGACUCCUACGGGAGGCAGCAGUGGGGAAUAUUGGACAAUGGGCGAAAGCCUGAUCCAGCAAUGCCGCGUGAGUGAUGAAGGCCUUAGGGUUGUAAAGCUCUUUUACCCGGGAUGAUAAUGACAGUACCGGGAGAAUAAGCUCCGGCUAACUCCGUG